GCAUGAUUAGAUUUCCACUCAUAUAGAAGAUUAUUUGCUGAAUAGAAUAACAGUUCAAGAUUAUUUGCAGAUUUCUUGGCCCAGUUGUUGCUUGUACUAGUACUUUGCAAGGUAAAGUAGUUGAGCAGUUAGUUACCAUGUUAUAUUGCUGGAGCUAAAGGUCUGAUUUCAAUCUUAUGUUUUGAUUUCUGGUCAUUGAUGGUCAAAUUAGUUUUCCA
rnacentral:misc_RNA from 1 species